rnacentral:rRNA from 1 species
UACGUAGGGGGGCAAGCGUUUGGUCCGGAUUUAUUGGGCGUAAAGAGCGUGUAGGCGGCUUCACAGGUCCGCUGUGAAAACUCGAGGCUCAACCUCGAGCUGUCGGUGGAAACCGUGUGGCUAGAGUCCGGAAGAGGAGAGUGGAAUUCCCGGUGUAGCGGUGAAAUGCGCAGAUAUCGGGAAGAACACCCGUGGCGAAGGCGGCACUCUGGGACGGUACUGACGCUGAGACGCGAAAGCGUGGGGAGCGAACAGG